rnacentral:lncRNA from 1 species
GGUUCUAUGGAAGAGACCACAGGAAAGAUGAUUUAUGUGAAUGUGGGUACAAGGGAGGUUGAGCCAUUUGGAAACUAACGCUGGUGACCUAUUCCCUCCCUAUCCUAAGAGGCUCUGGGGGAAAAAGAAUGUUAUUGGAGUCCAAUGAAAGCUAGUAUCCUGGAGGACAGGCUUCUCACCAGCAGCUGUAGUCCAGAAGGGAUGUACUACUGCUGCCAAUGUAAGGCACUAAUGGAAAAAGAAGUAACCUCACCUGCAUGUCUUCUUUCUUUCCUUCCACCUAGUAUUCUGUUAGUACAUCUUGUUGGCAGAAUCCAUCUGGAAUAUAGCUUUGAGGAGAGCUCAGGUAACGUGGUCCAUAGGAUAGGUCUCUGGAGGCACAGAUUAGGGGUUGGGAAAUGUGACACCGUGCAAACAGGAAAAGCCAGAGCAGGUCUUACUGUGCAUAAUCAUUUUCCAUUUUAUUGAGGUUAACAUUUAAAAAUGGCUUGGGAGCAAUUUGCCCCAUGGGUCAUAAUCUUUACAAUGGGACAUUUAGUUCAUUUGUGAAUUUUUUAGUUUUAAAAGCACUAUAAUGCCCAGGGGAUCAUUUAUGUAUAUAUCUUUUUUUUUUCACUAGAAUAAAUUCCUAGAAGAAACAUUUGAGCUUGAAGGGCUGCACAUUUUGAGAUGCAUAUAAUGCAAUCUAAUGUAGCUCAUGGCCUCUUGAAGACUGAUUUCCUGUGUGCAGAUUCCUGCUCUGCCAUUUACCAGCUGUGUGACCUUAGGUAAAUUAUUCUGAAAUUCAGUGUUUCAUCUUUAAAAUGGGCCAAUAAUCCCUAUUUUGUAGGGAUAUUUCUUAGGAUUAACUACUUAAUAAAUGGAGAACACUUGGAAUAUUAUAUGACUCUAAUAAGCAUAAUGUAAGUAUUAGCCAUUAUUAUUUAUAAGGCUUUUAAAAAUAGUUGUACAACUAUCAUCACAACUUAAUUUUAGAACAUUUCCAUCCCAAACCCCUAGUCCAUUUCCCCCCCCCCCAAUCUGUCUGCUUUGGUAACCAUAAGUUUUUCAAAGUCUGUGAGUCUGUUUCUAUUCUGCAAAUAAGUUCAUCUGUAUCCUUAUUUUAUAUUCCACAUGUAAGUGAUAGUAUAUGAUGUUUGCCUGUCACUAUCUGACUAACUUUGCUUAGUGUUAUAAUUUCUAGGUCAAUCUGUGUUGCUGCAAAUGGCAUUAUUUCAUUCUUUUUUAUGGCUAAUAUUUCAUUGUCUAUAUGUACCACAUCUUCUUUAUCCACUCUUCUGUUGAUGGACAUUUAGGUUGCUUCCAUGUAUUGGCUAUUAUAUAGUGCCACAAUGAACACUGGGGCAUAUGUAUCUUUUUGAGUUAUGGUUUUCUCUGGAUAGAUGCCUAGGAAUGAGUAUAAGACUUUUAACAUAUCUUGACAAACUAAAAAGUCCUCUAAAAAGUUUGCACUAGUUUACCUUCCCUUAAGUGGUAUUUGGGGGCCCAUUUCCCCAUACUUUCAUUGUUUCUCUUAAUCUUUGCCAGUUUAAUAGAUCAGGCAUGGUAUCUCAUUACCAUUUUAAUUUUCAGUUGAGAUUUAAUUUGGAGAUGAAUUUACUUCCUCUGAAAUAGCACAGCCUUUGAAAAUCAUGUAGUACUUUAAGGUCAUUAUGAACAUCAAUUGUCAUAGAACUGUGGCUGUACAUGAAUGAUGCUUAAUGUAGAGUUCUGGUUUAGAAUAUUAGCUGCAGAAUCUAAUAGCUUAGUAACUAUGUAAAUAAGGCCUACUAAUGAAUAUUCAUGAAAUACUUAGCCCAGCUAAAUGAGUGCACCACCAAAGGGGUUAAAUGAAUGUAAAGAUUUUCCAUAUGCAAUGCUAGAUAUAUAACUGAUGUACAGUUCCAGGGUGGGAUGGGCCCACUACUGUUUCCAAACCGCCAUCAUACAGCGCAUGAAAUCAUCCUUGCACCUGCUCGUGUGGCAUGCAGCAGUGCCACGGGCGUCAAUGAAGGAGAUGGAGAUAAACGUGAUUGCUUUGUAUCUGUAGCUGUUACUGCAUAGUGAGAUACUUCUGGUGGUAAUUUUAUUUAUUGCUUCCUCUUUAGUGACCUCAUAUCUCCUCUCUCAAAUUACUCAUUCAAAUGCAUCACUAUCAUUAUGUAAGAGGCUAAGCAGUUCAUCUAGUCUUGAAAACAAUCUGCCUGCACCUAGAAGUAGAGAUUCUAGUCUAAAUUUCAAUGACUUCUCUUUAAAUGUCAGGGGGUAGGAACUUCCGGUCCGACUCAGCUGUGACCUGCCAGCCUGUGGUGAGGGGGCGACAGUGGAAAAGAAUGGUGCUUUUCUCUGACUGGCAAUUUAGUAAAAGUCCCUGGCACAUUGAGGUCACCUGAUUAGAUUUGUGUUUCUUUUCAUGGUGGUGUCACAUGAUGUUUGAGGGAAAGGAAGCCUCUGGAUGCACAUUUUUAUAGAAAAGGCAAACUAGAUAAUUCUUUUAUUAAACAUAUUCUUCUGCUUUAUUUCUUUUUUUUUUCCCCUUCAGUUUUAUUUAUUUAUUUUUCUUUUUUUUGCUGUCCCUGUGGUACAUAUGGAAGUCUUCUGGGCCAGGGAUCAAAUCCGAGCUGGAGCUGCAACCUACACCACAGCAAUAGCAAUGCCAGAUCCUUAACCCUCUGCCCUGGGCUGGGAAUCAAACCAGCGCCUCCACAGAAAUAAGCCAGAUCAUUAACCCACUGUGCCACAGUGGGAAAUAUGUGUUUCUUUAAAAUAUCUUUGUCUAACCCAAGGUCAUAAAGAUUUUCUUUUCACCUAGAAGUUUGUGUUUUAUCUUUGGUAGGUAUUUAGAUUUAUAGUCUAUCUCAAAUUAAUUAUUUGUAUAUGGGAUGAGGUAGGGUCAAGGGUCAUUUUUCCCUCACAUGCUUAUCUAGUUAUUCUAGUUUCAUUUAUUGAAAAACUUUUUAAAAUUUUCUCCAUUUACUUCCUGCCUGCCUGUUGAAAAUCAACUUAAUAUGUAUGUGUGGGUAUAUUUUUAAAAUUUCUAUUUCUGUGAUCUCUUUGCCCAUCAAAGUGGUUUUCAAAGUAUGGUCUGUAGACCCACGGGGUUCUCGGAGAAUAUUUCAGAGGGUCUUUGCAGCCAAACUAUUUUCACAAUAUUACAUGAUAAUACUAAGCUAUUAUCUGCUAUUUACACUGAAAGUGUAAAAGCAAUUGUGGGUAAAAUUGCUGGUAUCUUAGUCGAAUCUGGACUGUGUACUCAUCAUCAUUGUAUGCUUCACUGCCACACAGUUAACUCCAAAUGAAGAAAACUAAUAAUAUCAUGAAAGCGGACUCCCGAGUAUGCAUCUUUAAAAUUUUCUAUUUGAUGAAAUGGAAGGUAUGCCUAAAGCACUUCAGAUGCAUACCAAAUGUAAUUGUAAUCUGAUGGUUAUCUAGAGCAAGGAUUGGCAAACUUUUUCUGUAAAGGGCCAGGGAGUAAUAGUUUCAGCUUUGCACACCAAAUCAUGCAACUACUAACCUCUGCCACCAUAGUGUGAAAGCAGUUACAGGUAAUAGAGAGAUGAAUGCUUGUGGCUGUGUUCCAGUUAGUCUUUAUUUAUACAAUGACCUUAAAGCUGGAUUUGGCCUCUCCUGGUCAUAAUUUGGGGACUUCUGGUCUAGGAGAAAAACACAUGUGCAAUUGUUUGAUUUGCAAGCUGAACUAAAUUUUUUUUCUUCCAUGAAACACCAUCGUUACUUGAAAGAGUGACCAACAAACUAUGAUUAUUCAGAUUUGAAUAUUUGGCAAAUAUUUUCUCAAAAGUGAACAAAUGCAAGCUUGUUAUUCCAAGCCGGUAAACUGACCAUUUUUGCUGCCAGUGAUAGCAUUAUAAAUUUGCAAAAUAAGUAUCAGACAUCAUAGACUUGAUCACUUCCCAAUACUUUAAGAAUUGAUAAGAUUGGUGAUAUUAAGAAGUGUGAUUUUUUUUGACUGUUUUAAUAAAAUGUGCCAUCAUUAGGAAGAUAUGCUGAAUAUGAUGAGUCAGUAUUUUCCAAAAGACCUAAAUAAGCAUGACAUUAUAAAUGCAUGCAUGGGUAGAAGAUCUAGUCAAAGUGCAAGAUAGACCAAUGAAGCAUGAAAACUUCAGUGAUAUGUUUUCAGGUUCCACACUGCAACUAGCCUUUAAACACUUGAAUUUUAAUGUAGUUUCAAAAAAGAAUAAAUAAUAAUAAUCAAAAAAGUCUGUGAAAAUACUCCUUACUAUUCCAGUACAUAUCAGUGCGUUGUCUGAUUUUCUUCAUCUUCUUCAACCGAAGCAACAUAGCAAAGGAUUAAAUGCAGAAUCAGAUGUGAAAAAUCUAGAUGUCUUCUAUUAACUCAAUUAUCAUAGAGAUUUUUAAAAAUGUAAAACAGUGCUCAUGUUCUCACUGAUUUUUCUUUAUUUUGGAGAAUACUUAUUUUUCAUAAAACUAUCUAAUUUUUAACAUGUAAUUUGCUUCUAAUUACUAUUUUUAAAUUAAUUAAAAAGUUUGAAAAUUUCCCAAUCUUGCUGGCAAUAUGGUAAAUAUUGAUAAAGGUAACCUAUAUAAACAAAAGCUCAUUAGGAUCCUCAAUAAUUUGCAAAAGCAUAGAGGAGUCCAAGAUCAAAAUUUUUUUGGAACUGCUGGGCUGUCUUUACAUCAAUAUCCCACUGUCUUUAAUUGCAGUUUUAAACCAAGUCUUUAAGUCAGGUAGUACAUUCUUAAAUGUGAUUUUUUUCAAUAUCUUAUCAAUAUCUUUAUAUCUUACUUUCCAGUUUUAUUGAUGUAUAAUUGACAUAUAGAACUGUAAUGUACUUAAAGUGUAAAAUGUGGAGUUUCCCUUGUGGCUCAGCAAAAACAAAUCCGACUAAGGAACCAUGAGGUUGAGGGUUUGAUCCCUGGCCUCGCUUAGUGGAUUAAGGAUCUGGCGUUGCCAUUAGCUGUGGUUGUAGGUUGCAGGUGCAGCUUGGAUCCUGCAUUGCUGUAGCUGUGGUGUAGGCUGACAGCUGUAGCUCCAAUUAGACCCCUAGCCUGAGAACCUUCAUAUGCCAUGGGAGCAGCCCUAAAAAGCAAAAAAAAAAAAAAAA